AGCGAACGCUGGCGGCAGGCCUAACACAUGCAAGUCGAGCGCGUGUCGCAAGACACGAGCGGCAGACGGGAGAGUAACACGUGGGAACGUACCCUUUGGUUCGGAACAACCCAGGGAAACUUGGGCUAAUACCGAAUAAGCCCUUACGGGGAAAGAUUUAUCGCCGAAGGAUCGGCCCGCGUCUGAUUAGCUAGUUGGUGGGGUAACGGCCCACCAAGGCGACGAUCAGUAGCUGGUCUGAGAGGAUGAUCAGCCUCACUGGGACUGAGACACGGCCCAGACUCCUACGGGAGGCAGCAGUGGGGAAUCUUGCGCAAUGCGCGAAAGCGUGACGCAGCAACGCCGCGUGGGGGAAGAAGGCC
rnacentral:rRNA from 1 species